rnacentral:rRNA from 1 species
UACGUAGGGGGCAAGCGUUAUCCGGAUUUACUGGGCGUAAAGGGAGCGUAGACGGAAUUGCAAGUCUGAUGUGAAAAUCCGGGGCCCAACCCCGGAACUGCAUUGGAAACUGUAUUUCUAGAGUGUCGGAGAGGCAAGUGGAAUUCCUGGUGUAGCGGUGAAAUGCGUAGAUAUCAGGAGGAACACCAGUGGCGAAGGCGGCUUGCUGGACGAUGACUGACGUUGAGGCUCGAAAGCGUGGGGAGCAAACAGG